UCUGGCUCAGGAUGAACGCUGGCGGCGUGCUUAACACAUGCAAGUCGAACGAUGAAGCCCAGCUUGCUGGGUGGAUUAGUGGCGAACGGGUGAGUAACACGUGAGCAACCUGCCCCUGACUCUGGGAUAAGCGCUGGAAACGGCGUCUAAUACUGGAUAUGUCCCGUCACCGCAUGGUGUGCGGGUGGAAAGAUUUUUCGGUUGGGGAUGGGCUCGCGGCCUAUCAGCUUGUUGGUGAGGUAAUGGCUCACCAAGGCGUCGACGGGUAGCCGGCCUGAGAGGGUGACCGGCCACACUGGGACUGAGACACGGCCCAGACUCCUACGGGAGGCAGCAGUGGGGAAUAUUGCACAAUGGGCGCAAGCCUGAUGCAGCAACGCCGCGUGAGGGAUGACGGCCUUCGGGUUGUAAACCUCUUUUAGCAGGGAAGAAGCGAGAGUGACGGUACCUGCAGAAAAAGCACCGGCUAACUACGUGCCAGCAGCCGCGGUAAUACGUAGGGUGCAAGCGUUAUCCGGAAUUAUUGGGCGUAAAGAGCUCGUAGGCGGUUUGUCGCGUCUGCUGUGAAAUUCCGAGGCUCAACCUCGGGCUUGCAGUGGGUACGGGCAGACUAGAGUGCGGUAGGGGAGAUUGGAAUUCCUGGUGUAGCGGUGGAAUGCGCAGAUAUCAGGAGGAACACCGAUGGCGAAGGCAGAUCUCUGGGCCGUAACUGACGCUGAGGAGCGAAAGGGUGGGGAGCAAACAGGCUUAGAUACCCUGGUAGUCCACCCCGUAAACGUUGGGAACUAGUUGUGGGGUCCUUUCCACGGAUUCCGUGACGCAGCUAACGCAAUUAG
rnacentral:rRNA from 1 species